rnacentral:rRNA from 1 species
GACGAACGCUGGCGGCGUGCCUAAUACAUGCAAGUAGAACGCUGAAGGAGGAGCUUGCUUCUCUGGAUGAGUUGCGAACGGGUGAGUAACGCGUAGGUAACCUGCCUGGUAGCGGGGGAUAACUAUUGGAAACGAUAGCUAAUACCGCAUAAUAUUGACUAUUGCAUGAUAGUCAGUGGAAAGGUGCAACUGCACCACUACCAGAUGGACCUGCGUUGUAUUAGCUAGUUGGUGGGGUAACGGCUCACCAAGGCGACGAUACAUAGCCGACCUGAGAGGGGGAUCGGCCACACUGGGACUGAGACACGGCCCAGACUCCUACGGGAGGCAGCAGUAGGGCAUCUUCGGCAAUGGACGGAAGUCUGACCGAGCAACGCCGCGUGAGUGAAGAAGGUUUUCGGAUCGUAAAGCUCUGUUGUUAGAGAAGAACGAGUGUGAGAGUGGAAAGCUCACACUGUGACGGUAUCUUACCAGAAAGGGACGGCUAACUACGUG